rnacentral:lncRNA from 1 species
GGAAUAUUCUCAGUAUAACUGUAAGAAUAAUAUAAAUAUAUUAAAAGCAUUACGAUGUUAUUAAAAAUACAUCAAAAGACAAUGAGAGAUGAAAGACAACCUUUGGGCUAGUUCCACCAAAGUUUUAAGCUGCUUGUUGUAGUGCCUAGUGUUUGGGUGACUUGUAACUUGGCCAGGCUCCGAGGCAGAGAGAGGUACCCCUUGCACGGGCAGGCAGCUCAGGGAGGGAUGCCUCCAGCCAGCACUCCAACGAGGGAGUAGUCAGUGUAUGAAAGUAGGGAGGACUAAAGAAACUGGCAUGAUGUUGUUUCUGCUCAAAAAAGAGAAUUAGUGCCUCAAGCCUGCAAUUGACAAUUAUGAAGCUUUUUGUGGAACUGGUGAACAAAUUAAGUUGUGAUGUUCGUGGACAAGGCAGGUAACAAUUGUUCUGCUCUUUUAGUCAUUAAUCCUAGCGGUCAGAGCACGCAGUGGUCCUCCCUGCAAAUCAGUGGGCUUUGUGUUUCCCACCUGACCACACAGGUAUAGGCAGAAGCUCUGUUUCUAAAACCUAACAGAAUCUAACACGUGGAUUCAAGUGCAACUGAAGCAUGAGUAUAUAAAUCUUAUAAGAGUAGACUUUUUACUUGUCUGGACUUAAAAAUAGAUGUUCUUUAAUUACUUUUACUUGCUUUUCUUUAUUUUAAGUUUCCAACAAAUGGUGAAUUGUAGAUAUGAUAAUAUUAUUCUCCUUAGAAAAUGAUUGUUAUAAUCAUAGAAAUAGGGAUAUGGCUAUUCUUAUGAAACUGUCUCCUUAGGAUAGAGGGGGAAAAAAGAUGGGCUGACUCAGAACUUGUCAUCAGUUUUAGUGUGUUCCAUUUUUAUCUCAAAGAGGAACUCUUGUUAAAUUGUAGGGUCAAAUAACCGGAAAACUGUGACUGCAAUUUGAAACACAAAAGGAGAAGCUGGAAGUCUGAAAAGAGAAAGAAAAAGACAGAGAGGUCUUAAAUUGAGGGAAAAAAAAUGCUAAAAAUUCACAGACAUCAUUCAAACAGUGGGGCUGAAGGAAAGUUCAGCUUUUUAAGUGUAGUGAGAAAGCCUUUAUGUUCUUCACAAGAUUUAGACAGUGCUUGCACAAUUCCUUUGCGUGUUUUGAAAAGGUAUUAAACAAGAAGUAAAUGAAGAACUUUAAUGCUAACCAUCAGAUCAUUUUUCACAAGACAAAAAAAAAAAAAAAGCAGGUAAAAUUAAUAUGAUGUUUUCUUUGUUGGUGCGACUUCAUUAAAAAUAUUGAUAUAAUAUAGAUCAUACUUUUUCACCGAAAGAUUGUGAAAGAUGGAAGUAUGUGUGAGAUAGUUCUCUAUUAAUAGACAAUUUAAGCUGACUCCAGGAAACACUCAGAUUCUGAAUUCUAUUGAUAUCUGCUUUUGCUGUCAGUUUCGCAGGCAUUUUUGUUGCUACCAAUGGCCAUUUAAGUGGAGAAAUGCAACUCCCAGCAUGAAAGGAUUAUUUUGCUAAUCUCCCUUAAAGCUUCCCCCCAGGUAUUCUAUCAAUAUGAGGUUGUUGGUAGGAGACAACUUAAACUUAAUAUAAAUCCUGUUUUUUUUGGAGCUGUGAUUUGAAGUUGCGUGGCAUUCCAGUCAUAUAGAAGGGUAUUUACUAGAACUGUGUGUAUUCAUUCUUUCAUUCUGCUGUCCCCUAAAUCUAAGACCCAGUAGGAAUAAUUUUUCCUGUAGCUGCCCUGGCAAAUAUGCCUUUUAUUACAGGAGAAUCACACUGCUUUCAAAUCCAAUUAGACUCAUACUAUCCUGCUGUGACAUACAUUAAAAAUUAGUAAAUGAAUCUUACAGAAUGACCUGCUGCUUCUGCCAUAGUGUUCCUUCAUUUUAUUAAAGGUUUCUUCAAGCUGAAUUUUAUUUUUUUCUGCUUUCCUACAGUGGGUUCUUUUAGGAAAGGAAAAAAGAAGGAAACACAGAAAAUGUAUUCAGAGGCAGUGCUGCAAAUGGUACAAUAAGUUCCAUCACAGAUAACUGAGAUGAUCCACCACUUAAAAAAAAAAAAAAAUUAUUUCCAGGGCCCAGGACUAACUGUCAAGAGAACCCACAAGCAAAUCAUUUUCUUUGUGUAGGCUUUAAAACUCCCACAAAAACAUCCAUGUUUUAGCUACAAGUGCUUUAGAAAUACAUCUCAUGAAGCAGAUGAAGCUCCUAUCCCAAAGGUACAUUGCAAAGUGAUUUCACUAGGAUUCUCCUCAGUAAAAGAGAUGCCAGCAAAAUCAUAGAUCAUUGCAGCCAGUGUUGGACCUGGUUGGUUCUUGCUGAUUGACUGAGUCUUCUUUUUGUUACAUGUGAGAACUUUUGGUCUAGCACAUCGGAAUACGAACUAACACACUAAAUAUUUUAUUCUGUGCAAAAUUAAGUAUCCCAGGCUUUAAUUCAGCUUCAUCAAAAGAGUCCUUAUUGCAAAUAAAAUAGCCACAAUUCAGGAGAGUAAGAAAGGA